rnacentral:rRNA from 1 species
CGGCGGACGGGUGAGUAACGCGUGGGUAACCUGCCUCAUACAGGGGGAUAACAGCUAGAAAUGACUGCUAAUACCGCAUAAGACCACGGUACCGCAUGGUACAGUGGUAAAAACUCCGGUGGUAUGAGAUGGACCCGCGUCUGAUUAGGUAGUUGGUGGGGUAACGGCCUACCAAGCCGACGAUCAGUAGCCGACCUGAGAGGGUGAUCGGCCACAUUGGGACUGAGACACGGCCCAG